AGAGUUUGAUCCUGGCUCAGGAUGAACGCUAGCUACAGGCUUAACACAUGCAAGUCGAGGGGCAGCAUUAAAGUUUGCUUGCAAACUUUAGAUGGCGACCGGCGCACGGGUGAGUAACACGUAUCCAACCUGCCGAUAACUCGGGGAUAGCCUUUCGAAAGAAAGAUUAAUACCCGAUGGUAUAUUUUCACCGCAUGGUGAAACUAUUAAAGAAUUUCGGUUAUCGAUGGGGAUGCGUUCCAUUAGGCAGUUGGUGAGGUAACGGCUCACCAAACCUUCGAUGGAUAGGGGUUCUGAGAGGAAGGUCCCCCACAUUGGAACUGAGACACGGUCCAAACUCCUACGGGAGGCAGCAGUGAGGAAUAUUGGUCAAUGGACGCAAGUCUGAACCAGCCAUGCCGCGUGCAGGAAGACGGCUCUAUGAGUUGUAAACUGCUUUUGUACGAGGGUAAACGCUCUUACGCGUAAGAGCCUGAAAGUAUCGUACGAAUAAGGAUCGGCUAACUCCGUGCCAGCAGCCGCGGUAAUACGGAGGAUCCAAGCGUUAUCCGGAUUUAUUGGGUUUAAAGGGUGCGUAGGCGGUUUGAUAAGUUAGAGGUGAAAUACCGGUGCUUAACACCGGAACUGCCUCUAAUACUGUUGAACUAGAGAGUAGUUGCGGUAGGCGGAAUGUAUGGUGUAGCGGUGAAAUGCUUAGAGAUCAUACAGAACACCGAUUGCGAAGGCAGCUUACCAAACUAUAUCUGACGUUGAGGCACGAAAGCGUGGGGAGCAAACAGGAUUAGAUACCCUGGUAGUCCACGCAGUAAACGAUGAUAACUCGCUGUUCGGCGAUACACAGUUCGGCGGCUAAGCGAAAGCGAUAAGUUAUCCACCUGGGGAGUUACGUUCGCAAGAAUGAAACUCAAAGGAAUUGACGGGGGCCCGCACAAGCGGAGGAACAUGUGGUUUAAUUCGAUGAUACGCGAGGAACCUUACCCGGGCUUGAAAGUUACUGACGAUUCUGGAAACAGGAUUUCCCUUCGGGGCAGGAAACUAGGUGCUGCAUGGUUGUCGUCAGCUCGUGCCGUGAGGUGUCGGGUUAAGUCCCAUAACGAGCGCAACCCCUACCGUUAGUUGCCAUCAGGUCAAGCUGGGCACCCUGGCGGGACUGCCGGUGUAAGCCGAGAGGAAGGUGGGGAUGACGUCAAAUCAGCACGGCCCUUACGUCCGGGGCUACACACGUGUUACAAUGGUAGGUACAGAGGGCAGCUACCCAGUGAUGGGAUGCGAAUCUCGAAAGCCUAUCUCAGUUCGGAUCGGAGGCUGAAACCCGCCUCCGUGAAGUUGGAUUCGCUAGUAAUCGCGCAUCAGCCAUGGCGCGGUGAAUACGUUCCCGGGCCUUGUACUCACCGCCCGUCA
rnacentral:rRNA from 1 species